rnacentral:rRNA from 1 species
AUGUUUUUGACCAUGCCAAAAUCUGGUGUCAACACUGCGCCAAAGAUUUUCGCUCGAUUUAGGUCUUUGAUUUCGCCGAUUCAUCCGCCGGUGCCGGAUAUGGCGUGCGUCGACAUCCAUGGCAUGAGCGUGACGCUCACGUUGGUGGACCAGCUGUCGCUCGCCGGGAAGAAGAGAUCCGCCGACGAGGAUCUUGUCCUCGCCGACGAGUCCGAGGCCCGUGGAUGGUCAUCGGCGGUCUCGGACCGCAGGCUCGCCCUGCGCCGCCGGAGAGGUCCGGCUUCCUCUUCCUGCCGCCGCGGCUGCAUCGUGGUGACGGAGCCGCCGGACUGCCGUGCCGAGGAGGCGGUUCAGCAGGUUGCCGCGGAAGAAUUCGAAGGCAUUCUGGAGCGCGAGGCUUUGUCUGUAGAGGAGCUGGUUUACUUCACCAUCUUCUAG